rnacentral:rRNA from 1 species
UACGGAGGGUGCAUGCGUUAAUCGGAAUUACUGGGCGUAAAGCGCACGCAGGUGGUUUGUUAAGUCAGUUGUGAAAUCCCCGGGCUCAACCUGGGAACUGGAGCUGAUACUAGCAAGCUUGAGGCACGUAGAGGGGGGUGGAAUUCCAGGUGUAGCGGUGAAAUGCGUAGAGAUCUGGAGGAAUACCGGAGGCGAAGGCGGCCCCCUGGACGAAGACUGACACUCAGGUGCGAAAGCGUGGGGAGCAAACAGG